rnacentral:rRNA from 1 species
GAUGAACGCUAGCUACAGGCUUACACAUGCAAGUCGAGGGGCAGCAUGGUCUUAGCUUGCUAAGGCCGAUGGCGACCGGCGCACGGGUGAGUAACACGUAUCCAACCUGCCGUCUACUCUUGGACAGCCUUCUGAAAGGAAGAUUAAUACAAGAUGGCAUCAUGAGUCCGCAUGUUCACAUGAUUAAAGGUAUUCCGGUAGACGAUGGGGAUGCGUUCCAUUAGAUAGUAGGCGGGGUAACGGCCCACCUAGUCUUCGAUGGAUAGGGGUUCUGAGAGGAAGGUCCCCCACAUUGGAACUGAGACACGGUCCAAACUCCUACGGGAGGCAGCAGUGAGGAAUAUUGGUCAAUGGGCGAGAGCCUGAACCAGCCAAGUAGCGUGAAGGAUGACUGCCCUAUGGGUUGUAAACUUCUUUUAUAAAGGAAUAAAGUCGGGUAUGUAUACCCGUUUGCAUGUACUUUAUGAAUAAGGAUCGGCUAACUCCGUGCCAGCAGCCGCGGUAAUACGGAGGAUCCGAGCGUUAUCCGGAUUUAUUGGGUUUAAAGGGAGCGUAGAUGGAUAUUUAAGUCAGUUGUGAAAGUUUGCGGCUCAACCGUAAAAUUGCAGUUGAUACUGGAUAUCUUGAGUGCAGUUGAGGCAGGCGGAAUUCGUGGUGUAGCGGUGAAAUGCUUAGAUAUCACGAAGAACUCCGAUUGCGAAGGCAGCCU